rnacentral:misc_RNA from 1 species
AAGUCGUAACAAGGUUUCCGUAGGUGAACCUGCGGAAGGAUCAUUAAAAAAGUGUGCUAGCGGCCGUCGUCAAGAUGUGAGCUGCCAUAGCAAUUACACUCCGCCUCAUACAGGCUCUGGCUCUUUCUUUUCGGAGGGUCAGGGUUCACUGUGGCGACCUGUGUCCACCCUUUGUGAAACUCUUCUAUAUGCUUCGGCAGCAUGUCCGCGGGCAACCACGGGCGGUAAGGCUGCCAGGAGCCCACACCAAAACCAGUUGAUGAAAUAUCAUGCUGUCUGAUAAAUCUAUUUUGAGAAAUCAAAUCACAUUAAAACUUUCAGCAACGGAUCUCUUGGUUCUC